rfam:Angiostrongylus cantonensis strain Taiwan genome assembly, scaffold: ACAC_contig0006198
AAGCUUACCUGGCUGUGAGGCUCUUGCGAUCAAGAAGGCGGGACCUCCAUGGUGAGGCCGUUGCAUUGCACUUUAGCAACGGCUGACCCGUGUGGCAGCUUCGAGUUGAAGUUAGCCAACAGCUAAAUUUUUGCGUGUGAGGCUGCGUUCGCGCAGUCCCGAU